AAUUGGAGGGCAAGUCUGGUGCCAGCAGCCGCGGUAAUUCCAGCUCCAAUAGCGUAUAUUAAAGUUGUUGCAGUUAAAAAGCUCGUAGUUGAAUUUCGGGGUCAGCAGGUUGGUCGUGCCAAUGGUAUGAACUGGCCUUGCUGAUUCCUCCUUCUUGAUGAGCCGUAAUGCCAUUAAUUUGGUGUUGCGGGGAAUCAGGACUGUUACUUUGAAAAAAUUAGAGUGUUUAAAGCAGGCAUGCGCUUGAAUACAUUAGCAUGGAAUAAUGAAAUAGGACGUUCGAUCCUAUUUUGUUGGUUUCUAGGAUUGACGUAAUGAUUAAUAGGGAUAGUUGGGGGCAUUAGUAUUCAAUUGUCAGAGGUGAAAUUCUUGGAUUUAUUGAAGACUAACUACUGCGAAAGCAUUUGCCAAGGAUGUUUUCAUUAAUCAAGAACGAAAGUUAGGGGAUCGAAGACGAUCAGAUACCGUCGUAGUCUUAACCAUAAACUAUGCCGACUAGGGAUCGGAUGAUGUUAAUUUUUUAAUGACUCAUUCGGCGCCUUACGGGAAACCAAAGUGU
rnacentral:rRNA from 1 species